GAUCAUGGCUCAGGACGAACGCUGGCGGCGCGCCUAACACAUGCAAGUCGAACGAGCGAGAGAGAGCUUGCUUUCUCAAGCGAGUGGCGAACGGGUGAGUAACGCGUGAGGAACCUGCCUCAAAGAGGGGACGAACAGUUGGAAACGACUGCUAAUACCGCAUAAGCCCACGGCUCGGCAUCGAGCAGAGGGAAAAGGAGCAAUCCGCUUUGAGAUGGCCUCGCGUCCGAUUAG
rnacentral:rRNA from 1 species